rnacentral:rRNA from 1 species
UACGGGGGGGGGCAAGCGUUGUUCGGAAUUACUGGGCGUAAAGGGCUCGUAGGCGGCCAACUAAGUCAGACGUGAAAUCCCUCGGCUUAACCGGGGAACUGCGUCUGAUACUGGAUGGCUUGAAUCCGGGAGAGGGAUGCGGAAUUCCAGGUGUAGCGGUGAAAUGCGUAGAUAUCUGGAGGAACACCGGUGGCGAAGGCGGCAUCCUGGACCGGCAUUGACGCUGAGGAGCGAAAGCCAGGG